rnacentral:rRNA from 1 species
AAGGAUGGGCCCGCGUUGGAUUAGCUAGUUGGUGUGGUAAUGGCGCACCAAGGCGACGAUCCAUAGCUGGUCUGAGAGGAUGAUCAGCCACACUGGGACUGAGACACGGCCCAGACUCCUACGGGAGGCAGCAGUGGGGAAUCUUGGACAAUGGGGGAAACCCUGAUCCAGCCAUGCCGCGUGAGUGAAGAAGGCCUUAGGGUUGUAAAGCUCUUUUGGCGGGGACGAUAAUGACGGUACCCGCAGAAUAAGCCCCGGCUAACUUCGUGCCAGCAGCCGCGGUAAUACGAAGGGGGCUAGCGUUGUUCGGAAUCACUGGGCGUAAAGCGUACGCAGGCGGAUUGAUAAGUCAGGGGUGAAAUCCCGGGGCUCAACCUCGGAAUUGCCUUUGAUACUGUCUGUCUCGAGUUCGGGAGAGGUUGGCGGAAUUCCUAGUGUAGAGGUGAAAUUCGUAGAUAUUAGGAAGAACACCAGUGGCGA